AACGAACGCUGGCGGCGCGCCUAAUACAUGCAAGUCGAGCGAGAAGACGUAGCAAUACGUUUGUAAAGCGGCGAACGGGUGAGGAAUACAUGGGUAACCUACCCUCGAGUGGGGAAUAACUAGCCGAAAGGUUAGCUAAUACCGCGUACGCUCCUUGGACUUCGGUUCAGGGAGGAAAGCGAUACCGUGGGUAUCGCGCUCUUGGAUGGGCUCAUGUCCUAUCAGCUUGUUGGUGAGGUAACGGCUCACCAAGGCUUCGACGGGUAGCUGGUCUGAGAGGACGGUCGGACACACUGACACUGAAUAACGGGUCAGACUCCUACGGGAGGCAGCAGUCGGGAAUUUUGGGCAAUGGGCGAAAGCCUGACCCAGCAACGCCGCGUGAAGGAUGAAGUAUUUCGGUAUGUAAACUUCGAAAGAAUAGGAAGAAUAAAUGACGGUACUAUUUAUAAGCUCCGGCUAACUACGUG
rnacentral:rRNA from 1 species